AUCCAGAUGACGAGUCCCAAACAGGGCAAAAUUCACAUCCUGGAU
rnacentral:hammerhead_ribozyme from 1 species